GAUGAACGCUGGCGGCGCGCCUAACACAUGCAAGUCGAACGAUUAAAGCAUCUUCGCGUGUUUCUCAAGUGGCGAACGGCUGAGUAACACGUGGGCAACCUGCCCCUUUCAUCGGGAUAGCCACGGGAAACCGUGUCUAAUACCGAAUACUUCUCGACUUCCGCAUGGUAGUUUCGAAAAAUCUCCGGCGUAGAGGGAUGGCUCCGCGGCAUGUUAGCUUGUUGGGGGGGUAGCGUCCUACAAAGGCAAGGAGGGGUAGCGGGGUGGAGAGACCGACCGGCCAGAUGGGGAUUGAGAAACGGCCCAGACUCCAACGGGAGGAAGCGGUGGGAAAUGUGGAACAAGGGGGGAAAGCCGGAUGCAGCAACGCGGGGUGCGGGAGGAAGGCCUUCGGGUGGUAAACCGCUUUCAGCAGGAAGGAGGCGAAAGUGACGGUACCUGGAGAAGAAGCACCGGCUAACUACGUG
rnacentral:rRNA from 1 species